UCUAGGUUGUGCCUUUAAAUUUUGAGAAAAUCAACAACUAAGGGGACUUCUCAAACCCUGGCCUGGUCUGUUUGACAAGCGUUCCCGGGAAUUCUCACGAUAUUGCGCAUCUGGGUUUAGAAACUCGGUGGUUUAUUUACAUAAUUGAAGAGAGCGCCUGCCUGUGGGGAAAACAUGGUGUGGUUACCUAGAUUACCCCUCUUCUGUAUAACAAAAAAAUCAAGGACAAAGUUGGCUCUUUUACAAUGGGUGUGAAAUGGAAAAUGUUUUUGUUUUCUCCAAUUUGUGUGCGUGGUCGAGGAGAAUUCCUUAUUAUUACGUGAAUAUCGACUUGGACUAUGGAAUUGGUUGCUAGGUGACUGAUGGAGUGAUAAGAGUGAAGAUAAAGGAGGGAGAAUAAGGAAGCAAUGUAGACGAAGGGUGAGUGAGUGGGUGGUGUAACAAGUCGAAUUUUUCCAUGACUUAAGUUAGAUCAGUGAUAAUGAUAAGGAAACAAAGGGAGGGACUCACCAGCCUGGUGAUAUUGCUGAGUUUGAAGACCUCCUCAUAGUGAACUCUGAUGGUGUAAUUAAUGGACUCAUCAUCUCACUGAGAAUCCACCAAUCUAAGAGAAAGCCCCAGCUGAGCCAGAUUACAAUACUGAUUAAACACAACAAUAAUCUCCUCUAAAACGCUUUCACCUUAAUCUGCAUGCGGUCAAGUGCAGGAGACAUCCAAUACAGUCAUGGACGUGGUUAGAUACAUCGGUUUAACAGCUUCUUUGGAACAGAAACCAGACCUACGCAACACUUUUUUUGUUAUCUCUCUUUCAAUCUGAGAUAGGUCUGAUCAGUUCCUAUGACGUCUUCUACUGUCAAUCCCCUAUACACUUUCUAGCUUGAGCUCUCUGAAAUAUACAUUGUUUGUCUAUGAUAAGUCAUGGUUACAGUUCUUCAGUAUAAGCGGCUUUGAUCUCUUUUACAAAAACACUUUAGGGGUUUCUCCAUAGCAGAACAAACUUUGUGUAAACCGUGAUGAAGGUCUAUUGUCCGAAACAUUCG